UACUUAAAAAUCUAUUCAGAUAAUUACAAUAUAAUACCAAAUAUUCUAAAUUGAAAACACACGAUGUUAUCACCACAUUCGACUGUGUAACUGGAAAUGGAGGAAAACAUUAUUUUUGAGAAAUAAAAUUUAAUUUUCUUUGCAACAGGCAAAGAAAAUACCAAAGAAAAAAAAAUUUAAAAACAUUUACACGUUUAGUUCAAUGUUACCCGCAAAUUCAAAGUUACCCAGAAUGACUGUAUCAAAAGUGAAGCCAAUUUUUUUGUACGGCCGCUAUAUUGGAAAGCCCCUGAAUACCGAAAAUACAGUGAUUGCGCUUGAAGAUGUACCUUUUUACUUCGUUUAUAUCUACUCGAUUAAGUCAUAUAUUUCAAUGAUAUUAUUAUAUUUAAAAUGUUUGAAGGUGUAAAAAUUAUAAAAGGGAAUCAAAAACACGCAAAACAUUAAUGACGAAGAGAAAUAUCGCUAUAAAGAAAUAAUAAAAUUUGUAUUGCUUUCUAUGAACUUGUUAAAUUUAUUGAAUUUAUGAUAUUCUAAAUAAAAAUUUUCUGAAAGAAAAAUUGAUAGUUAAUCUGGUUACUUUUGGGUGUUUAUUUUAACAACUUGAUGCGACCUUACUUAGCAAUAGUAGCUGGAAAGUAACUUUACAAGUAUAAAACAUGAUAAAAACAUUGUAUCAAACAUUUUUGUAAAUGGUUUUCUAAUUUUUGAGACUCCGAGGACAUGUUUAUAUUGUUCCACAACUGAUAUAUCAUCAACUAUGCAAUACUUUAUUAAAAUUGAUAUCACCUAAUAACAAUGUUUUGUUCUGUUGCUUUGCUAACUUUAAUUACACUUUGUGAAGGUUUGACAAAGCCAUCUCUAACUUUAAAAAACACUAGAUAUUUGGUAAUAACUAGUUAUUUGCAGUUUUACAUUAAAGUGUUUAGUGUUUUAGACUAAAUACAUGUUGAUUGUGUAUAUGUAAAUAUGGUAUAAAUGAAAA